UAGCUCAAUCGGUAGAGCGUGAGACUCUUAAUCUCAAGGUUGUGUGUUCGACCCGU
rnacentral:tRNA from 1 species